AUUGAACGCUGGCGGCAGGCCUAACACAUGCAAGUCGAGCGGAUGAAGGGAGCUUGCUCCUGGAUUCAGCGGCGGACGGGUGAGUAAUGCCUAGGAAUCUGCCUGGUAGUGGGGGAUAACGUCCGUAAACGGGCGCUAAUACCGCAUACGUCCUGAGGGAGAAAGUGGGGGAUCUUCGGACCUCACGCUAUCAGAUGAGCCUAGGUCGGAUUAGCUAGUUGGUGGGGUAAAGGCCUACCAAGGCGACGAUCCGUAACUGGUCUGAGAGGAUGAUCCGUCACACUGGAACUGAGACACGGUCCAGACUCCUACGGGAGGCAGCAGUGGGGAAUAUUGGACAAUGGGCGAAAGCCUGAUCCAGCCAUGCCGCGUGUGUGAAGAAGGUCUUCGGAUUGUAAAGCACUUUAAGUUGGGAGGAAGGGCAGUAAGUUAAUACCUUGCUGUUUUGACGUUACCAACAGAAUAAGCACCGGCUAACUUCGUG
rnacentral:rRNA from 1 species